rnacentral:rRNA from 1 species
AAUUUUGGACAAUGGGGGCAACCCUGAUCCAGCCAUUCCGCGUGAGUGAAGAAGGCCUUCGGGUUGUAAAGCUCUUUCGCAAGGGAAGAAAACUUAUCCAAUAACACUGGAUGAGGCUGACGGUACCUUGAUAAGAAGCACCGGCUAACUACGUGCCAGCAGCCGCGGUAAUACGUAGGGUGCGAGCGUUAAUCGGAAUUACUGGGCGUAAAGCGUGCGCAGGCGGUUUUGUAAGUCAGAUGUGAAAUCCCCGGGCUCAACCUGGGAACUGCGUUUGAAACUACAAGGCUAGAGUAUGGGAGAGGGAGGUAGAAUUCCACGUGUAGCAGUGAAAUGCGUAGAGAUGUGGAGGAAUACCAAUGGCGAAGGCAGCCUCCUGGCCUAAUACUGACGCUCAUGCACGAAAGCGUGGGGAGCAAACAGG